GGUAGGGUUCNGAGGGAAGGCCCCCCACACUGGGACUGAGACACGGCCCAGACUCCUACGGAAGGCAGCAG
rnacentral:rRNA from 1 species